ensembl:lncRNA
GACCUCUGAACCUCCCUAAAAUACUUCAGGACUUCUGAGUAAGAGGAAACAGCAAGUAGGAAAAACAUAAGAUUGAAUCUCUGAGUAGGAAAGCGGCAGACUCUGAAAUGGAGAAGAGUGCUCUUCCUAAGCCUCUUCAGAAGGAAGAGAAACCAGCACUGCUGCAUCCAGCAGAGAUGAGAAGAGAGAUCCAGUACUAGGUCGAGAGAAUGACACACAGCAGUGUUGCUUGGAGCUGACCUUUUCGUACAGCAAUGCAAGAGCUGAGAUAAAGGAGUGACUAAUGCUGGAAAAAGGAAUUUUUUCCGAGAAGGAAAUUCCAGCAGAUGAUGCUGCCAAAAGCACAAAGAAUGCAGUCAGCCUCUUGAAAGCAAAAUAACUCCCAGGGCACUGCUUGUCAAGACUCUUCAGGGCAUUCUCUUGUGUGGAUUCUCAGACACGUAGGAUGGGCUGUGUGCUCUUGACAUUGCUGCCAUGGCUGUGGAGCAGAGGAGCUACUGGGCUGUGCAUCACACGCACACCUGGACCUUUGCAACUCCACGAAUUAUUGGAGAGAGAGACAUCAUCAGAAAGUAUGAAAACAUUGAGGAUAAAUUCCCUGAUGCCAUCAUUAGGAGUCUGUAAGAAAGAGAGGCACUAUUCAUAAGAGCAGAAACUUUAUCUACACCUUCACAUCUUCAGUGGCCAGAAAAGUGCAGUAGAUGAAAGGAAUGUGCAAAAGCAAUGAAGGACCAAAGAAGCAGAAGCAGGAGCUCUUCCUGAAGCUGAAGCAGUAGAGCAGCACAGAGAUUAAUACUUUGGCUUGGAGAUGGGCAACACCUUCUAAUUCAGCCUGUUCUUCACCAGACAGUGUGAUUCCUCUGUACCACCACAGGAAAUUAUUUCACCCUCAAGCUAAUCUGAUUUUUUGACUGCCAUCCAAUCAGAAUUAAAAAAAAAAAAAAAAAAAGAAAUAAAGAAAAAAAGGAAGCCACUAAAACUGGUUUAAUAAUUUUUAAAGAGAUUUUAAAUGAUACUCACUUUAUCAAGCUGAUGAAAAUGACAGUAGUGUCAGAGGGUAACAGGUUGCUAAUAAAUACAAUAGUUUAGGAAAGUGCUAUUCUUGUCAUGGAAAAAUAUAUUCUGAGAAAAAUAAUACCACUGUAAUUCAUUUUGGAAAGCUAAAAAGGAAGCCACUAAAACUGGUUUAAUAAUUUUUAAAGAGAUUUUAAAUGAUACUCACUUUAUCAAGCUGAUGAAAAUGACAGUAGUGUCAGAGGGUAACAGGUUGCUAAUAAAUACAAUAGUUUAGGAAAGUGCUAUUCUUGUCAUGGAAAAAUAUAUUCUGAGAAAAAUAAUACCACUGUAAUUCAUUUUGGAAAGCUAUAGAGACAUCUUAGAUGAGGAAUGCAGUUAUUAAAGGCAAAAGUACACAAUAUGUUGUAAUGAAAUGGUUGUGCUACACACUUCAUUAAACGUUUUGUGAGGCACCUGGGAAAUUCCAGCUCUCCCCCCUCAGAAGGAAGAGUUUGACGUGGCUGGAUCACUGGAGGAAGCACACAGAAAACUGAAACAGGCUGAAACAGAAAACACACUGCCUGCCUUGGUGACUCCAGCCUGCAAGCAAAGCUGAGUGUGAGCAAAGAUUAACCAAGGGGCUACAGGAAUCUGCAUUUACUCUUCCAGUGCAAAAAUUAUGGUUCCAGGAUUCACUGAGGAAGACCUGAACACUCCCAGCGUUCAAAAAGAAGUUGAUGUGAGCAAAGCUGAAGUUCGUUGUGAGCGACAGCGCUGGGGAAAAUCCGACAGACUGUGCUGUGCACGUGUCCAUUGGAAGAAAACACACUUGUCAUAUGAGAGGCUGAAAGGCUUAAAAAUUCAGAGAGCACAGUAGGGAGUCUUCCAGGAAGAUUCAAAGGACUGAUAUGUUUUGAAUGUGUUGGGUGUUUGAUUUACAAUAUUUAAGAGUAGAAAAUAAAGCGGAAAAAAAACCCAGAGAAAUUUUGUAUGGAUCUUAGAGAAACAGGAGCUCAGGAAGGGCAGAUGUGCUGGAAUAUCUAUGAUAUUUGCAUGAUAAUUUCAGAAGCUCACCCUUUUCAUAAAAAACAACCCCCCAAAACACCCAAACAAAAUAAAGAAAAACAAGCCCCUAAUCCUGUACUUGAACAUUAUGAGCAUUGCUGAAAUGAUACUGUUUACAAAGCAUGUUUUAUAGUUCUAGUUCACUUUAAUCCACUAUUCUUUCAGACAUGCAGCAGGAGCACAUUACAGACAAAAGCCAGACAGAAGAAACUGCUUGUAUCACAGAAGCAAGGGAGCUGCUGAAGUGCUGGUCCUUCCUUCAGAAUAUUUACAAUCGUGGUGGAAACUUGAGGACACACCCAGCAGAGUGAACAAGAGCAAGAUGAAGAUAUUGUUGCACAAUGUUAUAGAAAUAAUAUGCAAUAUCACCAGUGAUAGUUUCUCUUUUUGCUCAUGGUUUAUCAAUGCUUGCAGUGUACUAAUCUGUUUUCCAUUAACUACGAUUUACAAUAUCAUUUGAAAACUCAUACAAGAAAAUAAAGUUUAAAAUUUUAAAUUAAUAAU